UUAAGUUGCCUAUUAAUGUAUAUUUAUUUAUAUUUCUCUCUGUGAAUCAGCUGCAUCUGGACGGCAUCAACAGGGGUCGCCAUUGUUAUUUAUGUGUGGGUGACAUCAAAAAUUGUCACCGGGAGUACAACGAUCUGGUACAAGUUCACGAGUAGUAAGUUCCAGGUUUGACUGCCGUUCCAGGGCACUUUCACAGCAGAUGGUUGUGAAAACACAAC